ensembl:rRNA 5S_rRNA 5S ribosomal RNA
GUCUACAGCCAUACCACCCUGAAUGCGCCCGAUCUCGUCUGAUAUCGGAAGCUAAGCAGGGUCAGGCCUGGUUAGUACUUGGAUGGGAAACCUUAACCCGAAUUUGUGUAUGCAGAGU